CCCAGCGCUUACGCGCUGGGCUAACCUAUGCCGCGCCUCCGGCGCU
rnacentral:sRNA from 1 species